GAUGAAGAACGUAGCGAAAUGCGAUACGUAAUGUGAAUUGCAGAAUUCAGUGAAUCAUCGAAUCUUUGAACGCAUAUUGCGCUCUCUGGUAUUCCGGAGAGCAUGCUUGUUUGAGUAUCAGUAAACACCUCAACUCCCUUUUCUUUUUUGAAAUGGGAGCUGGACUUGAGUGAUCCCAACACUUUUCUCACUGGAAAGUGGCGGGUCACUUGAAAUGCAGGUGCAGCUGGACUUUUCUCUGAGCUAUAAGCAUAUCUAUUUAGUCAGCCUAAAAAACAGAUUAUUACCUUUGCUGCAGCUAACAUAAAGGAGAUGAGUUCUUGUGCUGACUGAUGCAGGAUUCACAGAGACAGCUUUGCGGCUGACUUUGUAAACUCGAUCUCAAAUCAAGUAAGACUACCCGCUGAACUUAAGCAUAUCAAUAAGCGGAGGA
rnacentral:misc_RNA from 1 species